rnacentral:rRNA from 1 species
UACAGAGGGUGCAAGCGUUAAUCGGAAUUACUGGGCGUAAAGCGCGCGUAGGUGGUUUGUUAAGUUGAAUGUGAAAUCCCCGGGCUCAACCUGGGACUGCGUUUGUGACUGUAUGACUAGAGUACGGUAGAGAGGGGUGGAAUUCCUGGUGUAGCGUGGAAAUGCGCAGAUAUCAGGAGGAACAUCCGAUGGCGAAGGCAGA